GGGGAGAAUUAAAGCGGAUUAGUGGCGAACGGGUGAGUAACGCGUGAGUAACCUGCCUUACACAAGGGGAUAGCCUUUGGAAACGAAGAAUAAUACCCUAUAAAACCAUAAAAGCACAUGCAAUUAUGGUCAAAGUAUUAGCGGUGUAAGAUGGACUUGCGUCUGAUUAGCUAGUUGGUGAGAUAAAAGCCCACCAAGGCAACGAUCAGUAGCCGGCUUGAGAGAGUGUACGGCCACAUUGGGACUGAGACACGGCCCAGACUCCUACGGGAGGCAGCAGUGGGGAAUUUUGCACAAUGGGGAAAACCCUGAUGCAGCGACGCCGCGUGAUUUAGAAGGCCUUCGGGUUGUAAAAAUCUUUUGUAUAGGAAGAAAAUGACAGU
rnacentral:rRNA from 1 species